rnacentral:rRNA from 1 species
UCCUACGGGAGGCAGCAGUGGGGAAUCUUAGACAAUGGGGGCAACCCUGAUCUAGCCAUGCCGCGUGAGUGAUGAAGGCCUUAGGGUCGUAAAGCUCUUUCGCCUGUGAUGAUAAUGACAGUAGCAGGUAAAGAAACCCCGGCUAACUCCGUGCCAGCAGCCGCGGUAAUACGGAGGGGGUUAGCGUUGUUCGGAAUUACUGGGCGUAAAGCGCGCGUAGGCGGAUUAGAAAGUUGGGGGUGAAAUCCCGGGGCUCAACCCCGGAACUGCCUCCAAAACUGCUAGUCUAGAGUUCGAGAGAGGUGAGUGGAAUUCCGAGUGUAGAGGUGAAAUUCGUAGAUAUUCGGAGGAACACCAGUGGCGAAGGCGGCUCACUGGCUCGAUACUGACGCUGAGGUACGAAAGCGUGGGUAGCAAACAGGAUUAGAUACCCUGGUAGUCCACGCCCUAAACGAUGAGAACUAGUUGUUGGGAGCCUUUAAUAGCUCUUAGUAACGAAGCUAACGCGUUAAGUUCUCCGCCUGGGGAGUACGGCCGCAAGGUUGAAACUCAAAGGAAUUGACGGA